rnacentral:rRNA from 1 species
CCUACGGGCGGCAGCAGUGGGGAAUAUUGCACAAUGGGGGAAACCCUGAUGCAGCGACGCCGCGUGAGUGAAGAAGCGUUUCGGCGCGUAAAGCUCUGUCAGCGGGGAAGAAACACGGUUCGCGAGAGCCGCGGACGGUAGCCGACCAAGAAGCCCCGGCUAACUACGUGCCAGCAGCCGCGGUAAUACGUAGGGGGCAAGCGGUAUCCGGAUUCACUGGGUGUAAAGGGAGCGUAGACGGCGAGGCAAGUCUGGAGUGAAAGGCCGGGGCACAACCCCGGGACUGCUCUGGAAACUGCAUGGCUGGAGUACAGGAGAGGUAAGUGGAAGUCCUAGUGUAGCGGUGAAAUGCGUAGAUAUCAGGAGGAACACCGGCGGCGAAGGCGGCCUGCUGGACUGAAACUGACGUUGAGGCUCGAAAGCGUGGGGAGCAAACAGGAUUAGAUACCCCUGUAGUC